AAUGUUGUGAGGCUUUAUGUCAAAAUGUACAAUCCUUGUAUUACACCCUCGGUGCAAGUACUCUAAUCCUCGAGCAAUACCGACUGCAAUUUGGUGUAUUGUUUCCCAACCCAAUUGACGAUCAGCCUUCAAGGGAUUUUCUUUGUAUAUGUACUUCUCUAGAGAUCCAUUAAUCAUGAAUUCAUAGAUUAAUGCUCGUUUGGAACCCUCAAAACAAAAUCCUAAAAGAGCAACAAUGUUGACAUGGGAAGUCCUACUAAUGCUUGCAACCUCAUUUAUAAAUUCUUCUCCAUUGCUUUUCGAUUCCUUCAAC
rnacentral:misc_RNA from 1 species